AGACGGGGAAGAGGCAGACGGGUGAAAUAUGCAGCUCCACACUGAUGCCAACAACACACACACACACACACACACACACACACACACACAGAGUGGGUGAUAAACUCCGUCUGAACACAGGAGGGAUGGUCCAGUUUUUACAGAGCGCUUUUGUUAACAAAGGUUUCAGAAGGAAACACAGAGUCUCAAACACAAAGCUCAACGCGCUCUAUAACUGAUCCUGAGUCUGUGGAGGAGGAAAAACAACACAGCAGCCAGCAGCUCUCUGCAGUCCUGAUCAGAAUGAAUCGAUUAACUGAGAAACAACUCACUGAUCAUUAAACAUCAACUUUCUGCAGGUGAGUAGUUUUUCAGCUUUAACCCCCCCGACAUCCAUCCCAGUGUUUUCAGUGACUCUCCAGAGUUUCUGCUGCAGACGUGAUGUUUUGUUUGGAUUUUGUGAUCAGAUCAGGAACAGCGUGUCGAGGCCUGACCUGAAGACUGAGGAUUACAGUUUGGCAGCAGACACCAGCCCCCGGAGGAAAUACCAGAGUGUUUCAUUCCUGGAAAACACCUUCACUCCACAGAGACCUGGUGGAUCAAACAUUCAUUCUCUUCACACUGACAUUAGAUCAUGACUGUGGCUCCAUAACUGAACCUGAGCUGAGUCUGUUAUUGUUCAUUAGACCAACACAGUAGCAGGAAAGUCCCAACUCUGGUUUUUCUUGGCCUCAGUUCUGUGUAUCUUCAGACUCCAGGUCCAACCUGAAAUAUGUUUCUAACUCUGCUUAUUUAUCACGAGCUACUUGACUCAAAUCCUGAAGGUCCCGAUUCAGAACUGAUUAUUGAUCAGAUUAAAUUACUGAUCAGAUCUGGAUCACAGUGUCAGUGGAGGAUCUCACGACGUCUCUGUGGUUGUACAGAGUGGUCUAGUUUUGUGUGCAACUCUGAAAACCAAACCAGGUCGCACACAUUCAGCCAAUCAUGUCCUCACUCCUGAACUGGUUCAUCACCGGCAGCAGGAGGAGGAGGAGGAGGAGGAGGAGGAGGAGGAGGAGGAGGAGGAAACCGUCCGGAGCUCGAGACAGAUGUCAAGUCGGACUCGAACAUCAUCUACCCGAUAAUUCAGAAACCAGUGUUGCGUUUCUGAAGAGAGGAAAACAAAACCACAGUUGUGACAAGGAGGCGUCACAGACCACCACAGGAAGUGGUAUUCAAAUAAUCAACGACAGAGAUGGUGUGUUCCUGCCGCUGGCUGGAGGGACGGAGGAAGACUGUCUCAUAUUAACUCAAGUCAAACACUCUACUUUAACUCACACUUGACUGAAUGAUCGACCUGUGGACGAUACUUCACUGACAAUCUACAAAUACAAACUUCUUCAUUCCCACUUUGGCCUUUGCUUGUAGCUGAACUUUGUCCCUGUUGGCCACCGUACACCCUGCAGCCAGGAGCCAGUCAGAUAUAAGCAAAACAAAGAGCGUAUCAAACAGACACCUGCUUUGUUUCUUUUCCUGCUGCUCGGCUCAAACCGGAUGGCAUCUACAUGUUCCUCCACUGGACGGUUCAGUGUUCAAUAUGAGAGCUGCUGAGGCCCAGCAGAGUCUAACCAUAACAAGAGAUACUAAUAUGUGACGAUGCCGGGGGGGGGGGGGG